AUGGAGGAAAAAUAUGAAAAAGAGAAACAUCAUAGUAAAACACCUGAGGGAGAGAAAAACAGUAAUACCACACUGGAAACUGUAGAGAGAGAAGAGACUACUCAGAAAGAGACUAUCAUUCAGCAAGAGGAAGAAAGCACUGACACUCGCACUGUGAACAAUUCUUCAGAGAACACUGAUGACAGAAUAGUUGGAAGAAUAGUUAGGAGAAAAAAGUUUUCCCUGUUUAAACGAAAGCCACUGACAGGCCAGAAGAAUGUAUGUAACAGCAAGGAAGAUGGAUCUGGAAAGCUGUUCCAGAGUGAACAAGAAAAAGAAAAGGAAGAUUUAUCUGGUGAAGACAGUAAAGAUGAAAAUCAGAAUCAUACUUUGGAGAAUUCCAAGGAGACUGUGACUAACCAGGACAGAAAAAUGAAAUCUUCUACUUGUAUACUACUCUAA
rnacentral:lncRNA from 1 species